rnacentral:rRNA from 3 species
GGGUGAAGUCGUAACAAGGUAACCGUAGGGGAACCUGCGGUUGGAUCACCUCCUUACCUUAAAGAAGC